rnacentral:misc_RNA from 1 species
GAUGAAGAACGUAGCGAAAUGCGAUACUUGGUGUGAAUUGCAGAAUCCCGUGAACCAUCGAGUCUUUGAACGCAAGUUGCGCCCGAAGCCUCGGCUAAGGGCACGUCUGCCUGGGCGUCACGCAUCGCGUCUCCCCCAAACCGCCAAGGCGGAGGGGAAGGAAGAUGGCUUCCCGUGCCUCACCCGGGCGCGGUUGGCCUAAAUUUGGAGCCCGCGGCACUUAGCUCUCGCGGCGAUAGGUGGUGAACAAGGCCUUGGCCGUGCAAACACCCCGCGGCGAAGCUCUAUGUCACGUGCGCUCGUCGGACCCUUUGAAGUUGCCUUCGGUGACUUAAAACCUUUGCGACCCCAGGUCAGGCGGGGCUACCCGCUGAAUUUAAGCAUAUCAAUAAGCGGAGGA